rnacentral:sRNA from 1 species
UGUUUACAUUUCGUCUCCUCUUGGACCCGAUCUGUCCUAGAUCUAGAUUCGAAGAAUAAGAUGGUUUAGCUAGAUCUAGUCUAAGUAAGAUCUAGACCUAUAUAGAUCUAGUCUAGAUCUAGGUUAGUCUCAGAAUCAUGUUAGCAAUAAUAAUAAGCAUAAUGCUCUAUUUAAAUCAUUUCCUAACAGUUUAUCUAGGACUAGAUCUAGAUCUCCGGUUAGACUAACUGGUUUCUAACUUAUCCUAAGUGAAACUAAGUCGUUUAACAAAAGCAAGUUGUGACUUUGUAGUCGAUCGAUACUAAAUACAAACGCAGGAGCAACAAGGUUCAAUGGGACUACACUAGUCGGAGGGCGAGUUUGAUCUAACGGUUGCCCUAAUCUUAUUUUGGUGUGGUUCUAGAUGCUGAACUUUUAUCCAUUUGCUGCAACGGAUAUAUACAUCGUUAUUCCCAAGACCUAUGCGGAUGGUGCCCGACCUGUCUUUGAACCACCCCUAGGCUAAGUAUACUGUAAUUUAAGCAAUCCUGGUCAACACACAAAGGAAUGGAUACUGACCGUUACUGUCGUUGACCGAACCCAUUUUGCCUAUCGAAAUUAGGAGGCUAGUACAUCUUUCUCUUUUCUCCACGUCUGAUACAUCUUUCUCUUUUCUCCACGUUUGAUACAUCUUU